UACCCUCGUGGGGGAAUAAUGCUUCUUUUAGAAUGCUAGGAGAAGACAAGCUCAGGAAGAGUGAACAGUAGCUAAUAUCAGGCAGCUUUUGUGUCUGUGGCACUCAGGUUUGAAAGCUGCAAAAUUGCUCUUCUCACACGGUCCCAACUGAAAGGGCAGUCAGUCCAGUCUGUGUGCUCAUUUCUCAGAUGAGGAACCCCAGGCCUGGGGAAGGAUGGUGAUGGGCCCAAGAUCAGACAGAAAGUCCAAAGAUAAUAGGAAGAAAGUGGGAGACAACAAUCAGAGAACGGGGACUCUACGGGAGGGUGUCCUUGCAAGAAAUUGACCUCCUUCCCCAGCAACCAAACAGCAAUUAUGACUGACCAGCCAACCCGAAACGCGUCCUGCUUUUAUGAAUUUCCAAUCAAUACCUAAAAUGCCAGAAGUUUCUUUUGAAAUUUAAAAGAAGAGAAAGAGGGAGGGAGGAAGAAAAGAAGAAAUCCAAACAGUGGACAAAAACCAGGCGCUGCGGCCCCCACUCCAGCUUGAGAAGCGGCAACAAUGGUGAGAAAUCAAUGCCCAGAACCACAAGGCAGCUUUCAGACACCUCUUGACCUUGUCACUUCCUGGGUAAUUAAGAGGCACUACAGUUCCGUGUCACUGUCAGGGGCUGAAUGUAUAUCGAUAGACAGAUAUAUAUGCUCUUAAAAGAUUCUUUUUCUACAGCCUUGGUCAGGAUCCUGCCAAAGAAAAGGGGGAAAAGAAAAGCAUUUUGUCCAGAGCGCACUCAAAGAAACAUGAAAGGAGAAACCUAAAUUUUUCAGCACAGUCUGCCUCUGACAUGGGAAAAUGGCGCA